UGCUUUAUUUGCUCGCACUCAAC
rnacentral:miRNA from 1 species